GACGAACGCUGGCGGCGUGCUUAACACAUGCAAGUCGAACGGAAAGGCCCCUUUGGGGGUACUCGAGUGGCGCACGGGUGAGUAACACGUGAGUAACCUGCCCUUGACUUCGGGAUAACUUCAGGAAACUGGGGCUAAUACCGGAUAGGAAUCCUUGCUGCAUGGUGGGGGUUGGAAAGCUUCGGCGGUUUUGGAUGGACUCGCGGCUUAUCAGCUUGUUGGUGGGGUAGUGGCUUACCAAGGCUUUGACGGGUAGCCGGCCUGAGAGGGCGACCGGCCACAUUGGGACUGAGAUACGGCACAGACGCCUACGGGAGGCAGCAGUGGGGAAUAUUGCACAAUGGGCGGAAGCCUGAUGCAGCAACGCCGCGUGCGGGAUGACGGCCUUCGGGUUGUAAACCGCUUUCAGCAGGGGCGAAGCUUGUGGUGACGGUACCUGCAGAAGAAGCACCGGCUAACUACGUG
rnacentral:rRNA from 1 species